AGUGAACGCUGGCGGUAGGCCUAACACAUGCAAGUCGAACGGCAGCACAGUAAGAGCUUGCUCUUACGGGUGGCGAGUGGCGGACGGGUGAGGAAUACAUCGGAAUCUACUUUUUCGUGGGGGAUAACGUAGGGAAACUUACGCUAAUACCGCAUACGACCUACGGGUUAAAUCAGUGGAUCUUCGGACCUUGCGCGAUUGAAUGAGCCGAUGCCGGAUUAGCUAGUUGGCGGGGUAAAGGCCCACCAAGGCGACGAUCCGUAGCUGGUCUGAGAGGAUGAUCAGCCACACUGGAACUGAGACACGGUCCAGACUCCUACGGGAGGCAGCAGUGGGGAAUAUUGGACAAUGGGCGCAAGCCUGAUCCAGCCAUACCGCGUGGGUGAAGAAGGCCUUCGGGUUGUAAAGCCCUUUUGUUGGGAAAGAAAAGCAGCAGGUUAAUACCCCGCUGUUCUGACGGUACCCAAAGAAUAAGCACCGGCUAACUUCGUG
rnacentral:rRNA from 1 species